CCGCCUCUGAUCCUUCUCGCUCAAAUCCUAAACCCCUUCUUCCCCUUGAGCACAGCGGAGGAAGAAAUAAGCGAUUGGGGGAUUUCGAUCUCGCCCCAAUUGAUGGAUAAUCUCGUCCUCCUCUCCAAAUUCUCCGUCCCCGUAGCGGCUCCAAAUCUUUGCGAGAUCCCAAACAGGCGGCGAGCGGCUGGUUCUUCUCUUUCCCCGCUCCGUGCGGGACGCGGCAGACGAGUCGGAAACGGUGGGAGACGUCCCGGGUUCGUUUUCUUAGCCCUGAAGAAUGGAAGCAGCGAUCGAGCCCUAUCUGAUGCUGGCCAUCAAAAACUCAAGACACAUGUUUUUGGAAGUGUCUCAUCUUCAAGCAACAAAGAGCUGACAACUAGUAGUGGAGUAGCACCACCUCUGGUCCCUUCAUCACCGUCAUCCAUCGGUUCACCCCUGUUUUGGGUUGGAGUUGGAGUUGGUCUAUCAGUAAUAUUCCAAGUGGUGGCGGAAAAAUUAAAGAGACAUGCACUUCAACAAGCUUUCAAGACAAUGAUGGAUCAAGCAGCACCUCAAGGUGGACAAUUCAAUAAUCCUUCCUUUGGACCAGGCUUGCCUUUCCCGUUUCCUUCUACAGUAUCAUCACCUCCUACUGCAUCAACUCUGUCAACGGCACAUGUUUCUUCCCAGCAGCCUGUUACAGUAGACAUUCCAGCCACAAAAGUGGAAUCAACUUCAACGUCUGAAAUUGGAGAUGAAACUCAAUUAGAAGAGGCAAAACCAAAAAAAGCUGCUUUUGUGGAUGUUUCUCCAGAAGAACUAUUGCAAAGUGAUCCUUCUUAUCUAAAAGAGUCCAUAAAGGCAGGUCCAGUGGAGACUCAGUCCGUGAAGGAAGUUCCAUCAAAUGGAACUGUUAAGCAGGACGGAAGUGCUCCAAAUGGACAAUCCCAAUCUCGGAAGUCACCAUCUCCCUUGUCAGUUGAAGCAUUAGAGAAAAUGAUGGAAGAUCCAACUGUGCAGAAAAUGGUUUACCCCUAUUUACCUGAAGAAAUGAGGAACCCAGAGACUUUCAAGUGGAUGAUGCAAAAUCCACAAUUUCGCCAGCAAAUGCAAGAUAUGCUAAGCAACAUGGGUGGCAAUAAUGAAUGGGACAACCGACUGACUGAGUCCUUGAAAAAUUUUAAUCUUAGCAGUCCUGAGAUCAAACAGCAAUUUGAACAGGUAGGCCUCACUCCAGAAGAAGUUAUAUCUAAAAUAAUGGAAAAUCCUGAUGUUGCUAUGGCAUUUCAAAAUCCUAAAGUGCAAGCUGCCAUCUUAGAUUGCUCACAAAAUCCACUUAGCAUUGCAAAAUAUCAGAAUGACAAGGAGGUUAUGGAUGUGUUCACCAAGAUAUCGGAACUCUUUCCUGGUGUAUCGGGUUACCCAUGACCGACCUUGUGCACAGUGCUCCAUGGUUGUGACAAGUCAAUUUUUGUCUGCUCUUCAGCGAAUCUAGAAGCUGUAAAUUACGCAGCACAAUUUCAAAAUGCAGUUCAUGCUUGAGCCAAAUCUUUUGUAACUCUGCGCCAGCAGGUUAUCAUACAUCAUAACCUUAUAUGGAUGGUGUGCCCGUCUUCAUUUGUAACACUGGUCUUAUUCUUGAAGUUGAGGUAGAAGCUAAGAACAAGAGUUCCAGAUGCUCUUUGGACAUUGAGACCAGAAAAUUUAGUCAUUGGUUUGAACGUUCAGCAACUAAUUCUCCCAAAGCUGCUCAACCGGUUGGUUUAAUUGAGGAUCACAAUGAUAGUUAUGUUGCAUAAAAUUGUGUAUCAAAUAAUCUAUUGCUGCUCAUGAGAUUCAAAUUGGUUAUAUGACUGACUGGGUUCAGAAUUUUUAUCUACUGUUCCUUGGGAAGAUUUGUCGAGACA